rnacentral:rRNA from 1 species
ACUUCUCUAAUCUUACAAAUUAUUACUAAUUAAAACAAUUUAACAUUUUACUACUAAGACACACCUAAACAAAAGUACUAAAAAGGAACUAAUAAUAGUUUAAAGUAGUGAUUAUACACGUACCUUGUGCAUUAUGGUUUUACAAGCCCAUAAUUAAUUAUAUCUUCCCGAAUUCUACGCGAGCUGCUCCUAUAUAGCUAAGAGCCCACUACUAGUUGUGGCAACAACUUUAGAAAAUACAGCUGCAGAGGCUACAUACCAAACGCGCUAGAAAAUUGCUGGUUCUCAGUAAAAUUUAUAAAUUAAAACAUGCUUAUUAUUGCAGUGUAAGUUCCCAGAGGAUAAGCCCUGUGAUCUAAAGCCAACUAAUCUUUAUACAUAAAUAAAUAGGCCUAAAACCAGCCACACACACCACUUUACCGUAUAAUUUAUAUAACAAAUAAACCUCAUGCUAAAUAAAACUGAGAUUUAAGAAAAACCUAUAAUCUUAAGAUAUUAUGUAAAAAUAAGUAUUAGAUCAACUAUACAACCGCCAAUUAAUAUUCCAACAAAUAACACUU